GAAAGCGUGGGGAGCGAACAGGAUUAGAUACCCUGGUAGUCCACGCCGUAAACGGUGGGAACUAGUUGUAGGGGCCAUUCCACGGCUUCUGUGACGAAGCUAACGCAUUAAGUUCCCCGCCUGGGGAGUACGGUCGCAAGACUAAAACUCAAAGGAAUUGACGGGGGCCCGCACAAGCGGCGGAGCAUGCGGAUUAAUUCGAUGCAACGCGAAGAACCUUACCAAGGCCUGACAUAUACAGGAAACGUGCAGAGAUGUACGCCCCGCAAGGUCUGUAUACAGGUGGUGCAUGGUUGUCGUCAGCUCGUGUCGUGAGAUGUUGGGUUAAGUCCCGCAACGAGCGCAACCCUCGUCCUAUGUUGCCAGCACGUAAUGGUGGGAACUCAUGGGAGACUGCCGGGGUCAACUCGGAGGAAGGUGGGGAUGACGUCAAAUCAUCAUGCCCCUUAUGUCUUGGGCUUCACGCAUGCUACAAUGGCCGGUACAAAGGGUCGCGAAACCGCAAGGUGGAGCCAAUCCCAAAAAGCCGGUCUCAGUUCGGAUUGGGGUCUGCAACUCGACCCCAUGAAGUUGGAGUCGCUAGUAAUCGCAGAUCAGCAACGCUGCGGUGAAUACGUUCCCGGGCCUUGUACACACCGCCCGUCAAGUCAUGAAAGUCGGUAACACACCGAAGCCGGUGGCCUAACCUUUUGGAGGGAGCCGUCGAAG
rnacentral:rRNA from 1 species